rnacentral:rRNA from 1 species
ACAUCCAGAGAAUUUAGCAGAGAUGCUUUAGUGCCUUCGGGAACUCUGAGACAGGUGCUGCAUGGCUGUCGUCAGCUCGUGUUGUGAAAUGUUGGGUUAAGUCCCGCAACGAGCGCAACCCUUAUCCUUUGUUGCCAGCACGUAAUGGUGGGAACGUCAAAGGAGACUGCCGGUGAUAAACCGGAGGAAGGUGGGGAUGACGUCAAGUCAUCAUGGCCCUUACGAGUAGGGCUACACACGUGCUACAAUGGCGCAUACAAAGAGAAGCGACCUCGCGAGAGCAAGCGGACCUCAUAAAGUGCGUCGUAGUCCGGAUUGGAGUCUGCAACUCGACUCCAUGAAGUCGGAAUCGCUAGUAAUCGUAAAUCAGAAUGUUACGGUGAAUACGUUCCCGGGCCUUGUACACACCGCCCGUCACACCAUGGGAGUGGGUUGCAAAAGAAGUAGAUAGCUUAACCUUCGGGAGGGCGUUUACCACUUUGUGAUUCAUGACUGGGGUGAAGUCGUAACAAGGUAAGCGUAGUGCU